GCCUCCACGUGAUGUCGGCGACGCUCGCAGAAGCACCACCGCCGACUUCACGAGUCCACCUUCGGCAAAGCGGGUGUCGCAGGUUCGAAUCCUGCCGGGGCACCA
rnacentral:tRNA from 1 species